UACGAAGGGGGCUAGCGUUGCCCGGAAUCACUGGGCGUAAAGCGCACGUAGGCGGACUCUUAAGUCGGUGGUGAAAUCCUGGAGCUCGAACUCCAGAACUGCCUUCGAUACUGGGAGUCUCGAGUCCGGGAGAGGUGAGUGGAACUGCGAGUGUAGAGGUGAAAUUCGUAGAUAUUCGCAAGAACACCAGUGGCGAAGGCGGCUCACUGGCC
rnacentral:rRNA from 1 species